UGGGGAAUAUUGGACAAUGGGCGAAAGCCUGAUCCAGCCAUGCCGCGUGUGUGAAGAAGGUCUUCGGAUUGUAAAGCACUUUAAGUUGGGAGGAAGGGCAGUAAGCGAAUACCUUGCUGUUUUGACGUUACCGACAGAAUAAGCACCGGCUAACUCUGUGCCAGCAGCCGCGGUAAUACAGAGGGUGCAAGCGUUAAUCGGAAUUACUGGGCGUAAAGCGCGCGUAGGUGGUUCGUUAAGUUGAAUGUGAAAGCCCCGGGCUCAACCUGGGAACUGCAUCCAAAACUGGCGAGCUAGAGUAGGGCAGAGGGUGGUGGAAAUUCCUGUGUAGCGGUGAAAUGCGUGGAUAUAGGAAGGAACACCAGUGGCGAAGGCGACCACCUGGGCUCAUACUGACACUGAGGUGCGAAAGCGUGGGGAGCAAACAGG
rnacentral:rRNA from 1 species